GGGGCUGUAGCUCAGAGGUAGAGCAUCUGGUUUGUGUGCAGAAGGUCCCAGGUUCAAUUCCUGGCAUCUUCA